rnacentral:rRNA from 1 species
CCUACGGGAGGCAGCAGUGGGGAAUAUUGGACAAUGGGGGCAACCCUGAUCCAGCAAUGCCGCGUGCGUGAAGAAGGCCUUAGGGUUGUAAAGCGCUUUCGCCCGCGACGAUGAUGACGGUAGCGGGAGAAGAAGCCCCGGCUAACUCCGUGCCAGCAGCCGCGGUAAUACGGAGGGGGCGAGCGUUGUUCGGAAUUACUGGGCGUAAAGGGCGCGUAGGCGGCCUUGUCAGUCAGGCGUGAAAGCCCCGGGCUCAACCUGGGAUGUGCGCUUGAUACUGCAAGGCUUGAGACCGGAAGAGGAUGGCGGAAUACCCAGUGUAGAGGUGAAAUUCGUAGAUAUUGGGUGGAACACCAGUGGCGAAGGCGGCCAUCUGGUCCGGAUCUGACGCUGAGGCGCGAAAGCGUGGGGAGCAAACAGGAUUAGAUACCCUGGUAGUCCACGCCGUAAACGAUGACAACUAGCUGUUGGAAGACAAUGUCUUUCAGUGGCGCAGCUAACGUUUUAAGUUGUCCGCCUGGGGAGUACGGCCGCAAGGCUAAAACUCAAAUGAAUUGACGG